GGUGGGUAAACUUUAUUUUAUGACAGGCCUCUAAAUGGUAUGAAAACCUAACAUCUUUGUGCUAUAAAAGGCACAGAAGAUGCUGUAAUAGCUUCUGAAGUUCUGCUCCUUCCCAGGAUCUAAGCAGCACAGGCUGAAGGUGCAUGCACAUCGAAGCCCUUUUACCCUAACCUGCUAAGGGCAGAGGCUGCAGGCUCCUAUCCCUUCUGGCCUGGCAUAUUCACUGCUAUAUCUAUGUGGCAAAAAUUACUCUUGAUUUGCUAUUUUGCAUGAAGAGCAUUACUGAAAGGUCAUUGUAUUGAUGUAAUGUAAUGUAUUGACAUGGACAGUAUUUUCCUGCCCAAGACCUUGGAGAAGGCAGGACCUCUGCACCAUGCUGGUUCUGGCAAGCCAGGUGAGUCAUUUAGUGAUAGCAUUUACUCAGAGAAGAAGAGUUUCUUCUUCCAGGAGCAAUGUCCUCAUCUCCAUGCCUUACAGGUCCUCAGCAGCAAAACCUACAAUUCUCCAUGGCUGUACUUCCCCCCUUUUUCUCUCCCUGGAGGCUGCCCACAGCUCUGACAAGAUGCCACAAGUUAUUGCCUCCUCCCAGCACCCUGGAUGGAACCAUAAGCUGUUGUACUGUCAAACGUGCUUUUUGCUCAUGAUGGGAUAA
rnacentral:lncRNA from 14 species